GACGAACGCUGGCGGCGUGCUUAACACAUGCAAGUCGAGCGGUAAGGCCCUUUCGGGGUACGACGAGCGGCGAACGGGUGAGUAACACGUGGGUGACCUGCCCUCCAGCUCUGGGAUAAGCCUGGGAAACCGGGUCUAAUACUGGAUAUGACUCCAUGACGCAUGUUGUGGGGUGGAAAGCCUUGUGCGGCUGAGGAUGGGCCCGCGGCCUAUCAGCUUGUUGGUGGGGUGAGGCCUACCAAGGCGACGACGGGUAGCCGGCCUGAGAGGGCGACCGGCCACACUGGGACUGAGACACGGCCCAGACUCCUACGGGAGGCAGCAGUGGGGAAUCUUGCGCAAUGGGCGAAAGCCUGACGCAGCGACGCCGCGUGAGGGAUGACGGCCUCGGUUGUAA
rnacentral:rRNA from 1 species